rnacentral:rRNA from 1 species
UACGGUAUUGUGGCCAGCAGCCGCGGUACUACGUAUGGUGCAAGCGUUAUCCGGAUUUACUGGGUGUAAAGGGAGCGUAGACGGAUGGGCAAGUCUGAUGUGAAAACCCGGGGCUCAACCCCGGGACUGCAUUGGAAACUGUUCAUCUAGAGUGCUGGAGAGGUAAGUGGAAUUCCUAGUGUAGCGGUGAAAUGCGUAGAUAUUAGGAGGAACACCAGUGGCGAAGGCGGCUUACUGGACAGUAACUGACGUUGAGGCUCGAAAGCGUGGGGAGCAAACAGG